UGCUUAACACAUGCAAGUCGAACGAUGAAGAGAGCUUGCUCUUGGAUUAGUGGCGAACGGGUGAGUAACACGUGAGUAACCUGCCCUUAACUCUGGGAUAAGCCUGGGAAACUGGGUCUAAUACCGGAUAUGACCUGUCACCGCAUGGUGGUGGGUGGAAAGAUUUUUUGGUUUUGGAUGGACUCGCGGCCUAUCAGCUUGUUGGUGAGGUAAUGGCUUACCAAGGCGACGACGGGUAGCCGGCCUGAGAGGGUGACCGGCCACACUGGGACUGAGACACGGCCCAGACUCCUACGGGAGGCAGCAGUGGGGAAUAUUGCACAAUGGGCGCAAGCCUGAUGCAGCGACGCCGCGUGAGGGAUGAAGGCCUUCGGGUUGUAAACCUCUUUCAGUAGGGAAGAAGCGAAAGUGACGGUACCUGCAGAAGAAGCGCCGGCUAACUACGUGCCAGCAGCCGCGGUAAUACGUAGGGCGCAAGCGUUAUCCGGAAUUAUUGGGCGUAAAGAGCUCGUAGGCGGUUUGUCGCGUCUGCCGUGAAAGUCCGGGGCUCAACUCCGGAUCUGCGGUGGGUACGGGCAGACUAGAGUGCAUGUAGGGGAGACUGGAAUUCCUGGUGUAGCGGUGAAAUGCGCAGAUAUCAGGAGGAACACCGAUGGCGAAGGCA
rnacentral:rRNA from 1 species